GCCGGCCUAGCUCACUUGGUAGAGCAACUGACUUGUAAUCAGUAGGUUGGGGGUUCAAGUCCUCUGGCCGGCACCA
rnacentral:tRNA from 1 species